GCAGACCCAAGGCCGCGAUGCUCGCCCCGUACUGGGCCUUGUGCUCUCACUUGCGAGCGGGCUAAGGUCUGAGUGAUGCAUCUUCGAUGGUCCCAACGGGACCCAGCUGUAAUCAGCUGCCUGGCGUACCAGCAAUACGGAGCCGUCUUCGCCCCGACAAUCCAGCACUUUUCCGAAAGGUUCGGGAGAGAUGCGGUAGGGCAUGGCGAGGUACUCCUUGCAAAGUGCCAGGAUGCUCGGGCGCACGGCGAAUAUUGCUGCGCUAGGCUCCUCUUUUAUUUCCAUGUACGUUGAAGCCGUGGCAUGCGCCACGGCGGUAUGACAACGGCGAACCCCUUGUCGUAGCCAUCGUGGCGAAAGUUGUCGCCUUGGCUGUCUCUGGCUGCUCUGGGCGGCGAGGCGGGGCUCUGCUCUUGCCUUCGAUUUGCCCGUGGGUGAGGCGACAUCGUGUCCGUUGCGGAAUUUGCUUCCGCGUCCGAACGCCUUAUGCCCACCGCCUCCAGGGCUUACUUGGAGGUCAGAGAGCUGGGUUCAGUAUGACGAUGGGCUCCUGGCGUGCAGGGAGAUUUCUGAAGAGCGGCCUGGGGCAGCGAGUCGUGCGUCCUUUAGUGCAAUUCGCGGCACACGUUUCUCUGCGUGCAACUCGAUUCAGACUACUCUGGGUCUGC
rnacentral:RNase_P_RNA from 2 species